GCUUUCAGUGUCGAAGCGAAGGUGAUAAGUCCACUGCCUGGGGAGUACGGUCGCAAGGCUGAAACUUAAAGGAAUUGGCGGGGGAGCACUGCAACCUGAGGAUUGUGCGGUUUAAUUGGAUUCAACGCCGGAAAACUCACCAUGGCCGACGGACAAAUGAAAGCCAGUGUAACGAGCUUGCUGGAUUGUUCGAGAGGUAUUGCAUGGCCGCCGUCAGUUCGUACCGCAAGGCGUUCUGUUAAGUCAGAUAACGAACGAGACCCUCAUCCCUAUUUGCCAACUGCGUCUCCGGACGUAGCGCACUAUAGGGAGACCGCUGUCGAUAAGGCAGAUGAAGGCGAGGGCAACGGUAGGUCAGUAUGAUCCGAAUGCCAUGGGCUACACGCGCAAUACAAAGGACGGGACAAUGGGCUGCAACUCCGAGAGGAACGACGCUAUCCCGAAACCCGUUCGUAGUUCGGAUUGAGGGCUGUAAUUCGCCCUCAUGAAGCUGGAUUAGGUAGUAAUCGCGUCUCAAUAGGGCGCGGUGAAUAUGCCCCUGCUCCUUGCACACACCGCCCGUCAAACCAUCUUAGUUGGGGGUGGGUGAGGCUGCC
rnacentral:rRNA from 1 species